rnacentral:rRNA from 1 species
AACGAACGCUGGCGGCAUGCCUAACACAUGCAAGUCGAACGAAGUCUUCGGACUUAGUGGCGCACGGGUGCGUAACGCGUGGGAAUCUGCCCUUGGGUGCGGAAUAACUUCUCGAAAGGGAUGCUAAUACCGCAUAAUGUCGUAAGACCAAAGAUUUAUCGCCCAAGGAUGAGCCCGCGUAAGAUUAGCUAGUUGGUGGGGUAAAAGCCUACCAAGGCGACGAUCUUUAGCUGGUCUGAGAGGAUGAUCAGCCACACUGGGACUGAGACACGGCCCAGACUCCUACGGGAGGCAACAGUGGGGAAUAUUGGACAAUGGGCGAAAGCCUGAUCCAGCAAUGCCGCGUGAGUGAUGAAGGCCCUAGGUUGUAAAGCUCUUUACCAGGGAUGAUAA